CUGAGUCACCACCACCGGGUACACUACAGAAUUUCGAAUUACUUUUUUACGAAUAUGAAAAUAACGAUUUUCAUAAUUACGAAUUUCGUAGUUCCGAAUAAUUCACAAUCCCGAAUUUUAAGUUUCCGAAUAGCG